GCGAACGGGUGAGUAACGCGUGAGGAACCUGCCUCAAAGAGGGGGACAACAGUUGGAAACGACUGCUAAUACCGCAUAAGCCCACGGUGCCGCAUGGCACAGAGGGAAAAGGAGUAAUCCGCUUUGAGAUGGCCUCGCGUCCGAUUAGCUAGUUGGUGAGGUAACGGCCCACCAAGGCGACGAUCGGUAGCCGGACUGAGAGGUUGAACGGCCACAUUGGGACUGAGACACGGCCCAGACUCCUACGGGAGGCAGCAGUGGGGAAUAUUGCACAAUGGGGGAAACCCUGAUGCAGCGACGCCGCGUGGAGGAAGAAGGUCUUCGGAUUGUAAACUCCUGUUGUUGGGGAAGAUAAUGACGGUACCCAACAAGGAAGUGACGGCUAACUACGUGCCAGCAGCCGCGGUAAAACGUAGGUCACAAGCGUUGUCCGGAAUUACUGGGUGUAAAGGGAGCGCAGGCGGGAAGACAAGUUGGAAGUGAAAUCUAUGGGCUCAACCCAUAAACUGCUUUCAAAACUGUUUUUCUUGAGUAGUGCAGAGGUAGGCGGAAUUCCCGGUGUAGCGGUGGAAUGCGUAGAUAUCGGGAGGAACACCAGUGGCGAAGGCGGCCUACUGGGCACCAACUGACGCUGAGGCUCGAAAGUGUGGGUAGCAAACAGGAUUAGAUACCCUGGUAGUCCACACCGUAAACGAUGAUUACUAGGUGUUGGAGGAUUGACCCCUUCAGUGCCGCAGUUAACACAAUAAGUAAUCCACCUGGGGAGUA
rnacentral:rRNA from 1 species